rnacentral:rRNA from 1 species
CCCAAAAUAUAUGUUAAGUGGAAAAGGAUGUGGCGUUGCCCAGACAACUAGGAUGUUGGCUUAGAAGCAGCCAUCAUUUAAAGAGUGCGUAAUAGCUCACUAGUCGAGUGACACUGCGCCGAAAAUGUACCGGGGCUAAACAUAUUACCGAAGCUGUGGAUUGUCCUUUGGACAAUGGUAGGAGAGCGUUCUAAGGGCGUUGAAGCAUGAUCGUAAGGACAUGUGGAGCGCUUAGAAGUGAGAAUGCCGGUGUGAGUAGCGAAAGACGGGUGAGAAUCCCGUCCACCGAUUGACUAAGGUUUCCAGAGGAAGGCUCGUCCGCUCUGGGUUAGUCGGGUCCUAAGCUGAGGCCGACAGGCGUAGGCGAUGGAUAACAGGUUGAUAUUCCUGUACCACCUAUAAUCGUUUUAAUCGAUGGGGGGACGCAGUAGGAUAGGCGAAGCGUGCGAUUGGAUUGCACGUCUAAGCAGUAAGGCUGAGUAUUAGGCAAAUCCGGUACUCGUUAAGGCUGAGCUGUGAUGGGGAGAAGACAUUGUGUCUUCGAGUCGUUGAUUUCACACUGCCGAGAAAAGCCUCUAGAUAGAAAAUAGGUGCCCGUACCGCAAACCGACACAGGUAGUCAAGAUGAGAAUUCUAAGGUGAGCGAGCGAACUCUCGUUAAGGAACUCGGCAAAAUGACCCCGUAACUUCGGGAGAAGGGGUGCUCUUUAGGGUUAACGCCCAGAAGAGCCGCAGUGAAUAGGCCCAAGCGACUGUUUAUCAAAAACACAGGUCUCUGCUAAACCGUAAGGUGAUGUAUAGGGGCUGACGCCUGCCCGGUGCUGGAAGGUUAAGAGGAGUGGUUAGCUUCUGCGAAGCUACGAAUCGAAGCCCCAGUAAACGGCGGCCGUAACUAUAACGGUCCUAAGGUAGCGAAAUUCCUUGUCGGGUAAGUUCCGACCCGCACGAAAGGCGUAACGAUUUGGGCACUGUCUCAACGAGAGACUCGGUGAAAUCAUAGUACCUGUGAAGAUGCAGGUUACCCGCGACAGGACGGAAAGACCCCGUGGAGCUUUACUGUAGCCUGAUAUUGAAAUUCGGCACAGCUUGUACAGGAUAGGUAGGAGCCUUUGAAACGUGAGCGCUAGCUUACGUGGAGGCGCUGGUGGGAUACUACCCUAGCUGUGUUGGCUUUCUAACCCGCACCACUUAUCGUGGUGGGAGACAGUGUCA